AAAAAGAUUCUCAGAAUGAAAGGUGUUAGAAGUGCGGAAACAGAAGCCAGCACUGGCAAAGUAACGGUGACGGGCACUAUGGACGCUAACAAACUCGUCGACUACGUCUAUCGACGCACCAAAAAACAAGCCAAAAUUGUCCCUCAGCCCGAACCUGAGCCCGAAAAGCCCGUUGAAGAGACCAAGCCCGACGAGGCGAAGCCCGUUGAAGAACCAACGCCCGAAGAUAAGAAAGAUGAAG
rnacentral:misc_RNA from 1 species